rnacentral:rRNA from 1 species
GACGAACGCUGGCGGCGUGCCUAAUACAUGCAAGUGAAGUUCAGUGGCGGACGGGUGAGUAACACGUGUGUAACCUACCCAUCAGGGGGGGAUCACCCUUGGAAACAGGGUCUAAUACCGCAUAAAGGGGGAUGGGCUCGCGGCCUAUCAGCUUGUUGUUGGGGGGAUGGCCUACCAAGGCGGUGACGGGUAGCCGGCCUGAGAGGGGGACGGGCCACAUUGGGACUGAGAUACGGACAAGACUCAGACGGGAGGCAGCAGUGGGGGAUAUUGCACAAUGGGCGAAAGCCUGAUGCAGCGACGCCGCGUGGGGGAUGAAGGCUUUGGGGUUGUAAACCUCUUUCGCUAUCGAACGGGUAGGUGGAGAAGAAGCGCCGGCUAACUACGUGCCAGCAGCCGCGGUAAUAC